UACGGAGGGGGCAAGCGUUACUCGGAAUCACUGGGCGUAAAGGGUGCGUAGGCUGACUUUUAAGUCAGGUGUGAAAUCCUACGGCUCAACCAUAUAACUGCACUUGAAACUGGAAGUCUAGAGUUCAGAAGGGGCAGAUGGAAUUAGUGGUGUAGGGGUAAAAUCCGUAGAUAUCACUAGGAAUAUCAAAAGCGAAGGCGAUCUGCUGGGAUGAUACUGACGCUGAGGCACGAAAGCGUGGGGAGCAAACAGGAUUAGAUACCCUGUGUAGUCCACGCCCUAAACGAUGAAUGCUAGUCGUCGGGGAGCUCGACUCUUCGGUGAUGCACUUAACAGAUUAAGCAUUCCGCCUGGGGAGUACGGUCGCAAGAUUAAAACUCAAAGGAAUAGACGGGGACCCGCACAAGUGGUGGAGCAUGUGGUUUAAUUCGAAGAUACACGAAGAACCUUACCUGGCCUUGACAUGAUAGGAACCCUGUAGAGAUACGGGGGUGCUAGCUUGCUAGAACCUACACACAGGUGCUGGACGGCUGUCGUCAGCUCGUGUCGUGAGAUGUUGGGUUAAGUCCCGCAACGAGCGCAACCCUCGUCCUUAGUUGCCAGCAGUUCGGCUGGGCACUCUAAGGAGACUGCCUUCGCAAGGAGGAGGAAGGGGAGGGCGACGUCAAGUCAUCAUGGCCCUUACGGCCAGGGCUACACACGUGCUACAAUGGGGCGUGCAGAGAGCCGCAAUACCGCGAGGAGGAGCCAAUUUCAUAAAGCGCCUCUCAGUUCGGAUUGUUCUGUGCAACUUGAGAGCAUGAAGCGGGGAUCACUAGUAAUCGCAGAUCAGGUAUGCUGCGGUGAAUACGUUCCCGGGUCU
rnacentral:rRNA from 1 species